rnacentral:rRNA from 1 species
UGAUCAUGGCUCAGGAUGAACGCUAGCUACAGGCUUAACACAUGCAAGUCGGAGGGGCAGCAUGGUCUUAGCUUGCUAAGGCUGAUGGCGACCGGCGCACGGGUGAGUAACACGUAUCCAACCUGCCGUCUACUCUUGGCCAGCCUUCUGAAAGGAAGAUUAAUCCAGGAUGGCAUCAUGAGUUCACAUGUCCGCAUGAUUAAAGGUAUUUUCCGGUAGACGAUGGGG